rnacentral:lncRNA from 1 species
GAAGCUUAAUGAAUUCCACAUGGAACAAGAGGUUACUGCAAUAAAUGCCUAAGUAAAUAAACAAAAAGUUGGUAGCUUGGAAAGUUUUAUGGUAGCCAAGACCAGUGCAAAAGAAUGUCAAGAAGUCGAUAUUGUUGAAGGUAGAAGCAUUAAUCCUUUGCUUGAUUCCAUAUUCUCUAUGAUUCUUUGUAGUCGCUUGAUCUGUUCCUUGUGCC